GGAAAGUGGGCAAGGCAGAAUUCUAGUUUCUAUAAAUAUUAUAUGAUUCUUUUAAUUUGGAAAGAAUCAAAAUUCAUUUGGCCUAAAAUAUUUGGAUACGUGUCUCAAUUACUCUGUUAGUGUAAGCCCGACCUCCUCUCUGCUAGCAGAAAGAAUUGGCAGACAAAAUACAUGCUGGUGACUCAGUGUGAGGUGUUCUCUCCUCCUUGGGGGGACGAAGCGGGAGCAGAGAACACUGAAGCCAGAGGCACUGACUUAAAAUGGAGCAUCUGAUCCUUAAAGAUCCCCUGGUAUUUGUUGUCAGAGAUGCCCAUGCCAGCCAUACUGCCCAGACUUGAAUUCUCUCCAGAGAAGUUUCUCAUCCAAGAUCCCCAGUAAAGAAAGGACUACUGAAGGAAAAAGGAAAGAAAAUAGAGCUUCUUUCAUCUUUAUUCUGGGGUUUUCUGCAAUUUUUUUAAAGAGAAAGACAACUUUAGAAGAAAAGUUAAAGUCGGUAUUUCCAACUUGUUGCUGAUAUGAUGAAGCUCUUUAGUGAAAAACCAAAAUCCUACUGUCUGAGAAAAGCAUCACAUCAGCAAUGUCAUAGGUAAGCUACAUAAAAAGGAGUUUGCUUGGUGAGCAAUGGUGGAGUGAGGCUCAUGAUUUGAGUAUUUCAAGAUGUCAACUAAGGGCACCUCAACCAAAUGCACCUCAUGCCCACUGACUCAACAGGUCGAGACCUUAAGGAAAUGCGGCAUUCCAUUGCAUAAUGCUUCAAUAUGAGUUAACAAGACAAAUGAGCAGAGAAACUAUGACUCUCCAUGCUGCAGAAGGAAAAUGCUCCUAGCGAACAUCUGCUUUGGGACCAAGGACAGAACCCAGAGGGCUAACAAAGAAGCACCAUGGAGUUGGUACACAGACCUCUGAGAACGGAUCCUAAAUGGCUAUCGCUGCUACCUGGCAUCUCACCAGAGAACUGGUUCUGGAAGCUCUCAAGGAAGGUUGAAGCUUUUAACUGCUACUGACCAAUACAGGAAAAACAGAAAUGUAUGGAGUCUCACUAUGUCACCCAGGCUGGAGUGCAGUGGCGUGAUCUCGGCUCACUGAAACCUCCACCGCCCAGGUUCAAGCAAUCCUCCUGUCUCAGCCUCCUGAGUAGCUGCAACUACAGGCACCUGCCACCAUGCCUGGCUAAUUUUUGUAUUUUUAGUAGAGACAGGGUUUCUCCAUGUUGGCCAGGCUGGUCUCAAACUCCUGACCUCAGGUGAUCCACCCACCUCGGCCUCCUAAAGUGCUGGGAUUUCAGGCGUGAGCCACUGCCUUCAGCUGGAAAUAGCAUUUACUUUAGAGUGUGAUUGUAAAGAUUAGUGUGAUAAUAUGUACAGAACAUCUUAUAUUCAUGGAGGGCACACAUUUGUUCAAUGAAUUGUACUGAUGAGAUCACAAAUCACAUUUCCUCACCCUUCAACCACUGCGCAUCCAAUAUCAUU
rnacentral:lncRNA from 1 species